AUAAUGAAGCCUCCAACGGAAGGAAGCAUUUUGAAUUGGCGGUGGGGAUACGUUAUCAUAUUUUGUAAGUUUACCCUUCUGGUAUUCGAUGCAGGCAUCACGAAAUCGUUUGGUGUUCUUCUCCAUGAGAUGGUGGUGAGAUUAAACUCAAACUACGCCAUUAUUGGGUUCAUCUGCAGCCUGCCAUCCACCCUCUCACUUCUCGCAAGUCCACUUGUAUCUCUAAUACUAGAAAGGGUGAACGACCGACUGGUCGCCGGAGGAGGAGCAAUACUCGGCUCGACUUGCAUGCUCAUAUGUGCCUUUUCAACUAAUGUUGUAGUUGUGGGCGUGUGUCUUGCAUUAACAGGGACCGGUUUUGCCUGUAUUCACCUGCCCACAACGCUUAUCAUAAACGACUAUUUCCCUGAUGAUUUUGUCAUGAUGAAUACGCUUUCCUUGUAUGGUCUGACUGCAGGUGCAACCUUUAUACCGUUCAUCGUAGAAAGAUCGGAAGAGGCUUACGGGUACCACGGAAGUUUUCUGAUCUUAGCCGGUAUUGGUCUUCACGCCAUGGUGUGUGCUGCUGUAAUCCGUAAACCAAUCAUGAAGAAAAUUAAAAUUAAUUGUCCUGAAGCUAAGACAAUGGGACUGGUCCGAACAGAUAGCGAGAUGACAAGUAAGCUUACACGACCGAAAAAUAACAGCGCUCUGGGAUCAAGGGGUGAAAAAAAUCAUAAGGAACAUCAGUCAAGCAGUACAGGAUCUGAUCAUUCAGAGAUUGGGCUUGAUGACGUCGAAACUGCUGUGUUAACCGAACACUUACCAUUGAUCACCGAAGAAGAAGACGACGACGACAAACUGGCUGGGGCGUCUGCAGGGACAUCGAAGGGCAAUACCGAACCUUGGUACAAGUUCUGUUGCAGAGGUCUUACGUUUCAUGACUGGCUGGUCUUGUUUAACAUGCCGUCGAUUUUCCUCUUCUCAUAUGCAUUGUACGGUUGGAUGCUGUUCUUGGUACCCCAUGCCGAAUCCCUUGGGAUUAUCAGUUCCCAUGCGGUAAUAUUAUCCACUCUAGCAGGAAUUGGUGGUAUCUUAGGAAGAACAGUAUUCAUUAUUCUCAUUUCUAAAAACGUCGAUCCUUUUCUGAUAUACAUCCCCGUCAGUAUUGUCUGCAUCCUGACUUUUCUCCUUGACUUCGUCGGAUCAGGGUAUCCUGUACGGGCUGGUUUGGCGUUCGUCCAAGGCAUCUGUUUCUUUACUGAAGAUACUAUGCCCUCUGCCGUGGUAAAGAAGAUUACAUUUGACCCAGUCAAAUUCAGACGAGCUUAUGCAAUGCUAUUUUUCUUUACUGGAUUAGGAGCUACCUCAGCAGGCUAUAUGACAGGAUCUCUGUUCGACCUAACCCAGUCCUACACCAAAGUCUUCAUGGUUAAUGGUGUUCUUCUUUUUGUUGUUUUGGUGAUCUUGACCACCACAGCUGUCCUAUUGAGAGUUCAAUCUAGGAUCAACACGAAAUGAAACAUGUGACGUCAUCUGACCAUCCUAAUACGUAAAAGAUCCGUGACUAUGAACCUUACAGUGGAAUAAACACAAAUAGGAGUAGACGUGGACAAUAGGAAUACGUACAUCGUGUCAUAAUUAGAGGCUAAGAUGUGAUCUAUGUAGAUAUGAAUAUUUCCACUUGGAUAAUCCGGCAACUAAUAGGGCGACAUUAAGCUAUCGAUUGCCCUCCCCUAAGAAAGAUAUUAAAUACUCUUGUCAGAAAAUGAACAAUUUUUUUUUUGUAUUUUAGUUGAUAUCGGGCACAUUGCCCUUUAAUACUUGCCGAGCUGGUCUUUUUUGAGGAGGGGUGGGGAGAAAAUCAAGACAUUGGAUGAUAAAUUGCCCCAAUUCAAUGGAAAAUAUAUAAUUUAGGAACAAAUAAAUUCGAAGAAUUUUGCAAGGUUUAGCUUAAUCCAAUAAUAACUUCACAACAAUAUCUUAGAAUGUUUGUAGUCUCUUGAGACGUUAACAGACAUAUUUCAUUAAUACCUCAGUCACAUUUCCUCGAAAAAAGCCGCUAUAACAUUUUAUGUACUCUUUAAAAAAAUAUUUCGCACAGACUCCAUAGAGACAUCGGAGUCGUCUUAGCAGUCGGGGAUGAAAUUAGUCUCCACGAAGCUUCUGCAGUUGAUCGUCAUGUCUUGGAGACGUAGCGUAACAAGCCCACACAAAUUAAAAGGGUCAAAUAUACUCUAGGGGUAGCGGACAAUAUUUAUAAGAAUAUGCGAGUGAGCGAAGCGAGCGAGUAAAAAAGAAGACCCGUCUCAUUCGAUACUAUAAUUUUAUGGUAGUUUUUGACAUAUUACUUAAAAAAUAAUGUUAAUAUUUUUUUUCUCGGAAUUGAACAUUUUUCAGGGGGGGGGGGGCAUGGCACCCCAAGCUCAUCUGAAUGCGAGUGCGUCGACUGGAAAAUGUCGUGAAAAAAUCGAGCAUGUUCGAUUUUCUUGCGACUCCUCGGAGAAUACAAGUUAAUAAUAAGUUUCAUAGAUGUAUCGGAGACGUCUCUGCAAUCAGCAGAAUCUGGAGUCGCAAACUAAUGGCGAGCUAGUUGCAAUCCCAUUGACAUUAACCUUUUUACGUUUUGCAAGUUUUAAUUUUGUGCUUGCCUAAUAAAGGAAUAAACACAACACUUUACAGCCCAUUAAAUGUGAUUUGCCCAAACUAUUAGAAAAUAAACACGAGAGCGCUUUGAUUGCAUCCAACUUCUGAGCCAAACCGCCGUGAACCGCCCCCCCCCGGUUAAGUCUGAUUGCCUUCAGCACAUUCAUUAGCACCAAUAAAUAUAUGCAGAUCACUCAAAGUCAACUAUAGAAGUUUAUUCAUGAGUAUAUAAAAACUUGUGGGUGUUUCAUAAAGCUGUUCGUAAGAUAAGAGCGACUAUAAGAACGACUGGUGAUCCUUUCUUUUGGUAAAUGCUAUACAUCAUUGACAAUGGUUUAGCGCGUAAGAAAGGUUCACCAGUCGUUCAUAAAGUCGCUCCUAACUUACGAACAGCUUUAUGAAACACCCACCAGGUCUAUUGUGAGAAUGCAAACUGGAUGCGUUUCCAUUCUCACAUUAGAUCUAGAGUAGCAUCUUUUAUUAAUAAAAAUGCACAGGCCUAUAUACUUUUCACACAAGUAGUUUUCUUGCCAACCUGAAAUUCUACCAGAUGCUUGCCAGACCUAGCAACAAAUGACGUAUGCAAACGAGUCCAGACAUUGUGUAAAAAUCAUUAUAUAUGCAGAUUGGUGAAACACCUGCAUGGUUUCUAAGUUGUUGGCAGGAAGACAUAGAUUUGCAUCACUUUUAGCGAAUGUAGCUACCUGUUAAACAAUGGAAUCUCUCUGAACUGUCAUGAUUAUGAAGUCAUGCUUUCUCUGUGUCCCUCUCCCACAUUGUUUCUCUCUGUCUAUCUCUCCCUUCCUCUCACUCUCUCUAUUAUAGAGGUCUAGUAAAGCAACAUAAAUACCAAGUCCGACGGAGCAAAUGUGUAUAUUACACCAACCUCUUUUUCUUUGAUUUAAUCAUUCGUAUUUAUAACAAUACAUAAUAAUGAAGCCUCCAACGGAAGGAAGCAUUUUGAAUUGGCGGUGGGGAUACGUUGUCAUAUUUUGUAAGUUUACCCUUCUGGUAUACGCUGCAGGCAUCACGAAAUCGUUUGGUGUUCUUCUCCAUGAGAUGGUGGUGAGAUUAAACUCAAACUACGCCAUUAUUGGGUUCAUCUGCAGCCUGCCAUCCACCCUCUCACUUCUCGCAAGUCCACUUGUAUCUCUAAUACUAGAAAGGGUGAACGACCGACUGGUCGCCGGAGGAGGAGCAAUACUCGGCUCGACUUGCAUGCUCAUAUGUGCCUUUUCAACUAAUGUUGUAGUUGUGGGCGUGUGUCUUGCAUUAACAGGGACCGGUUUUGCCUGUAUUCACCUGCCCACAACGCUCAUCAUAAACGACUAUUUCCCUGAUGAUUUUGUCAUGAUGAAUACGCUUUCCUUGUAUGGUCUGACUGCAGGUGCAACCUUUAUACCGUUCAUCGUAGAAAGAUCGGAAGAGGCUUACGGGUACCACGGAAGUUUUCUGAUCUUAGCCGGUAUUGGUCUUCACGCCAUGGUGUGUGCUGCUGUAAUCCGUAAACCAAUCAUGAAGAAAAUUAAAAUUAAUUGUCCUGAAGCUAAGACAAUGGGACUGGUCCGAACAGAUAGCGAGAUGACAAGUGAGCUUACACGACCGAAAAAUAACAGCGCUCCGGGAUCAAGGGGUGAAAAAAAUCAUAAGGAACAUCAGUCAAGCAGUACAGGAUCUGAUCAUUCAGAGAUUGGGCUUGAUGACGUCGAAACUGCUGUGUUAACCGAACACUUACCAUUGAUCACCGAAGAAGAAGACGACGACGACAAACUGGCUGGGGCGUCUGCAGGGACAUCGAAGGGCAAUACCGAACCUUGGUACAAGUUCUGUUGCAGAGGUCUUACGUUUCAUGACUGGCUGGUCUUGUUUAACAUGCCGUCGAUUUUCCUCUUCUCAUAUGCAUUGUACGGUUGGAUGCUGUUCUUGGUACCCCAUGCCGAAUCCCUUGGGAUUAUCAGUUCCCAUGCGGUAUUAUUAUCCACUCUAGCAGGAAUUGGUGGUAUCUUAGGAAGAACAGUAUUCAUUAUUCUCAUUUCUAAAAACGUCGAUCCUUUUCUGAUAUACAUCCCCGUCAGUAUUGUCUGCAUCCUGACUUUUCUCCUUGACUUCGUCGGAUCAGGGUAUCCUGUACGGGCUGGUUUGGCGUUCGUCCAAGGCAUCUGUUUCUUUACUGAAGAUACUAUGCCCUCUGCCGUGGUAAAGAAGAUUACAUUUGACCCAGUCAAAUUCAGACGAGCUUAUGCAAUGCUAUUUUUCUUUACUGGAUUAGGAGCUACCUCAGCAGGCUAUAUGACAGGAUCUCUGUUCGACCUAACCCAGUCCUACACCAAAGUCUUCAUGGUUAAUGGUGUUCUUCUUUUUGUUGUUUUGGUGAUCUUGACCACCACAGCUGUCCUAUUGAGAGUUCAAUCUAGGAUCAACACGAAAUGAAACAUGUGACGUCAUCUGACCAUCCUAAUACGUAAAAGAUCCGUGACUAUGAACCUUACAGUGGAAUAAACACAAAUAGGAGUAGACGUGGACAAUAGGAAUACGUACAUCGUGUCAUAAUUAGAGGCUAAGAUGUGAUCUAUGUAGAUAUGAAUAUUUCCACUUGGAUAAUCCGGCAACUAAUAGGGCGACAUUAAGCUAUCGAUUGCCCUCCCCUAAGAAAGAUAUUAAAUACUCUUGUCAGA